rnacentral:rRNA from 1 species
AUGCACGCUGGCGGCGUGCCUAAUCCCUGCAAGUCGCGCGAACGGACGAGAAGCUUGCUUCUCUGAUGUUAGCGGCGGACGGGUGAGUAACACGUGGAUAACCUACCUAUAAGACUGGGAUAACUUCGGGAAACCGGAGCUAAUACCGGAUAAUAUUUUGAACCGCAUGGUUCAAAAGUGAAAGACGGUCUUGCUGUCACUUAUAGAUGGAUCCGCGCUGCAUUAGCUAGUUGGUAAGGUAACGGCUUACCAAGGCAACGAUGCAUAGCCGACCUGAGAGGGUGAUCGGCCACACUGGAACUGAGACACGGUCCAGACUCCUACGGGAGGCAGCAGUAGGGAAUCUUCCGCAAUGGGCGAAAGCCUGACGGAGCAACGCCGCGUGAGUGAUGAAGGUCUUCGGAUCGUAAAACUCUGUUAUUAGGGAAGAACAUAUGUGUAAGUAACUGUGCACAUCUUGACGGUACCUAAUCAGAAAGCCACGGCUAACUACGUG